rnacentral:rRNA from 1 species
CCUACGGGAGGCAGCAGUGAGGAAUAUUGGUCAAUGGACGAGAGUCUGAACCAGCCAAGUAGCGUGAAGGAUGACUGCCCUAUGGGUUGUAAACUUCUUUUAUAUGGGAAUAAAAUGUUCCACGUGUGGGAUUUUGUAUGUACCAUAUGAAUAAGGAUCGGCUAACUCCGUGCCAGCAGCCGCGGUAAUACGGAGGAUCCGAGCGUUAUCCGGAUUUAUUGGGUUUAAAGGGAGCGUAGGUGGAUUGUUAAGUCAGUUGUGAAAGUUUGCGGUUCAACCGUAAAAUUGCAGUUGAAACUGGCAGUCUUGAGUACAGUAGAGGUGGGCGGAAUUCGUGGUGUAGCGGUGAAAUGCUUAGAUAUCACGAAGAACUCCGAUUGCGAAGGCAGUUCACUGGACUGCAACUGACACUGAGGCUCGAAAGUGUGGGUAUCAAACAGGAUUAGAUACCCCUGUAGUC